rnacentral:rRNA from 1 species
CCCUUAGAUGUUCUGGGCCGCACGCGUGCUACACUGAGUAAUUCAAUGGGUAAGGGAACGCUAGAGCAUUACCUAAUCUUGUAAUUUGCUCGUGAUGGGGAUCGACGGUUGCAAUUUUCCGUCGUGAACGAGGAAUACCUUGUAGGCGCAUGUCAUCAUCAUGCGCCGAAUACGUCCCUGCCCUUUGUACACACCGCCCGUCGCUCCUACCGAUUGAGUGAUCCGGUGAGGCUCUGGGACCUGGACGGAAAGAGCGUUUCGCUUGUUCUGUUUGGGAAACUUGGUCGAACCUUAUCAUUUAGAGGAAGGAGAAGUCGUAACA